rnacentral:rRNA from 1 species
GACGAACGCUGGCGGCGUGCUUAACACAUGCAAGUCGAACGGAAAGGCCUCUUUUGGGGGGUACUCGAGUGGCGAACGGGUGAGUAACACGUGAGUAACCUGCCCUUGACUUUGGGCUAACUUCAGGAAAAUGGGGCGAAUCCCGGUUUGGUGCCCCUGCUGCCUGGUGGGGGUUGGAUAGUUUCGGAGGUUGGGGAUGGACGCGCGGGUUAUCGGCUUGGUGGUGGGGUAGUGGUUUACGAAGGCUUUGACGGGUAGCCGGCCGGAGAGGGUGACCGGCCACAUUGGGACUGAGAUACGCCCCAGACACCUACGGGAGGCAGCAGUGGGGAAGAGUGCACAAUGGGUGGAAGCCUGAUGCAGCAACUCCGUGUGCGGGAUGACGGCCUUCGGUUUGUAAACCGCUUUCGCUCAUGACGAAGCGGGGUGUGACGGUAGUGGGUAAAGAAGCACCGGCUAACUACGUG